UACGAAGGGGGCAAGCGUUGUUCGGAAUUACUGGGCGUAAAGGGCGCGUAGGCGGCUUAUCAAGUCAGGCGUGAAAUUCCCGGGCUCAACCUGGGGGCUGCGCUUGAUACUGAUUGGCUUGAAUGCGGGAGAGGAUAGUGGAAUUCCCAGUGUAGAGGUGAAAUUCGUAGAUAUUGGGAAGAACACCGGCGGCGAAGGCGGCUAUCUGGCCCGUAAUUGACGCUGAGGCGCGAAAGCGUGGGGAGCAAACAGG
rnacentral:rRNA from 1 species